GACGAACGCUGGCGGCGUGCUUAACACAUGCAAGUCGAACGGAAAGGCCCUGCUUUUGUGGGGUGCUCGAGUGGCGAACGGGUGAGUAACACGUGAGUAACCUGCCCUUGACUUUGGGAUAACUUCAGGAAACUGGGGCUAAUCCCGUAUAGGAGCUCCUGUUGCAUGGUGGGGGUGGGAACGUUUCGGCGGUGGGGGAUGGACUCGCGGCUUAUCAGCUUGUUGGUUGGGUAGUGGCUUACCAAGGCAUUGACGGGUAGCCGGCCUGGGAGGGUGACCGGCCACAGUGGGACUGAGAUACGGCCCAGACGCCUACGGGAGGCAGCAGUGGGGAAUAUUGCACAAUGGGCGGAAGCCUGAUGCAGAAGCGCCGCGUGCGGGAUGACCGCCUUCGGGUUGUAAACCGCUUUCGCCUGUGACGAAGCGUGAGUGACGGUAAUGGGUAAAGAAGCACCGGCUAACUACGUG
rnacentral:rRNA from 1 species